AUCUGAUGACUCAUCAGUCACCGUGGGCGUCUCCGGAUGGAACCCUGAACAUUUAUUCAGAGGGUGCUUUUGCCAGUUUCUGAACGACUCCUGAUGGAGUCCUGCUCUGUUGCCCAGGCUGGAGUGCAGCAGCGUGAUCUCGGCUCACUGCAACCUCCACCUCCCAGGUUCAAGCGAUUCUCCUGCCUCAGGCUCCUGAGUAGCUGCGAUUACAGGCGCGUGCCACCAUGCCCGGCUAAUUUUUGUAUUUUUAGUAGAGGCAGGGUUUCACCAUGUUGGUCAGGCUAGUCUCGAACUCCUGACAUCGUGAUCCACCCGCCUCGGCCUCCUAAAGUGCUGGGAUUACAGGCGUGAGCCACCCUGCCUGGCCUAAGCAACCACAUCUUGCAUGAACUAACUGAGCGAGAACUCACUUAUCACUGAAGGGAUGGCGCUACACCAUUCACGAGGGGCUAUUCCCAUGAUCCAAUCACCUCCCACCAGGCCCCACCUCCAACAGUGGGGAUCACAUUUCAACAUGAGAUUUGGAGAGGACAAACAUCCAAACGAUAUCAGGCUGAAAACACGGCUGGCACUUGAAACUUUAGAGAAGUCACCUUUUCCCUGGGCUCCUCGCUCUGGUCUCCCUGAGACUGUCACAGCGGCUUCAUAGGUGCUUCGAGUUUCUUUGCCACCCCCUGAUCAGGCCUUCUGUGUUUUGUAGUAGUCGCCUUCCCAGAUUUAUUGAGUAGCUCAGCUGAACCAAGGUCUGAGCAUUCAAUUAGGUCUUGUUAUUCAUCCGUUCACCAAAUAUUUAGUGAGCCAUGUGCCAGGCACAUUUCUAGCUGCUGAUACAGCUGUGAACAAGACAGAUGAAGCCCUUGCCCUUCGUGGAGCUCACAUUUUAAUAAAUAGUUUGGAGGCGGACAAAGAGAAAAUAAACAGAGAAACACGAACCUGGAGCAUUUGGCUCACAACUUAGAGUUGACUCAUCUUCAGUUUGACGUCCCUCCUGCUACGAGUUCCUGGCUAACUGACAUCUCUUCUCCUCAAGCAGAUGCUAACUUUGAGCCCUACCACUGAUGGCAUUUGAGGGGGAGAGGAUAAGCCAAGGGAAGAGGAAAAUCAAAAUGCUUUCAGCAGCACGGCUUCCGCAUGCUGGAGAGGUGGUGUAUGGGGUUGCGGCUUGGCCUGUUUUCUGAAACCUGCAAGGUAGCACCCUGAAGGUAGCUUGUAACCCUCCACUCUCACACCAAGGUUCCUGGGGGACGCCCAGCACACUGGAAGGGAAGGGUUGCCAUAAGAGAGGGAAGAAGGCGAGAGCCAAGCAUGGAGCUGCUGU
rnacentral:lncRNA from 1 species